rnacentral:lncRNA from 10 species
CAGAGGCUCUGAAGGAGAAGGCAGGAGCUGUGGUGGGGCCUGGAGAGAUGCUGUGCGGAAGGAGAAAGGUCUACAGGUCACAAUGAUUCUGGUGUGAAGCAGAGGAUGGGCCAGAAAGAGAUUCAAAAUGCUACAUCUUCAAAUCACUUCACCUGUCCCUCCAGUAGCCCUUCAGGUCCUUGGCAUCUUCAACUCCUGCUAUCCUCACAUGUAAUGACCCUCAAAUUAAGUUCUACAAAUUACCCAGAUCAGAGAUAUGUUCCUUAAAGAUUAAGCUGCUUUAAAGUUGAAAUUGAGAUGAAGGCUCUCAAAAUCCCAAAGAACAAUGCACAGUUAUGCGUCUGUUUGCCAGGGACAGUACUACCAACUGAUAUCACACCAAAAUCCAUUUCCAUGCCUACUUCUCAUUGGUUUCUUGCCAGCCUGCUUUCGUUCUGAUUGGCUGCCUACAUUAUCCCCACCCCCAAUCCAGAAGAAGCCAAGUGAUCUAGUUCUUGGGAAGCUUUCAUUUUUUAACACUCAAGUUACUCUCCCUCUGAUGCUGAGCUGAAGCUGGACUGUACUGCUGCCAUCUCGGCUCACUGCAGCCUCCCUGCCUGAUUCUUCUGCCUCAGCCUGCCGAGUGCCUGCAAUUGCAGGCGCGCGCCGCCACGCCUGACUGGUUUUCGUAUUUUUUU